rnacentral:rRNA from 1 species
UAAACGACUCUCGGCAACGGAUAUCUCGGCUCUCGCAUCGAUGAAGAACGUAGCGAAAUGCGAUACUUGGUGUGAAUUGCAGAAUCCCGUGAACCAUCGAGUCUUUGAACGCAAGUUGCGCCUGAAGCCUCUGGCAGAGGGCACGCCUGCCUGGGCGUCACGCA